AGAGGAAUGGUCUUGGGAGCCUUCUUUAGCUGCUGCCUUCAUGUUUCUAAUACUUCUGUCUGCAGAAAGCAGUGAGAAGAAUAAAAGAUCAGGGACUGAGUCAAUGAAGUUGUGCCAGGCUUGUCAAAACAACCUUGUCCAAAUUUUUUUCUUCUAAAACUGAACUCCUAGAUUGCAGUCCUUCUGCCGCUCUCUGCAGUUGCCUUCAGCGUGAUGUGCUCCGUGACAUUUUGGCUUUUCCCUGCCAGCGGCAAUCUCAAGGAUGUUAUGGCCGGGAUGUUUUGAAGUGAAUGUAAAUUGUGAGCUACAUUUUUACAGUACCUAUAUAUACUUGGGCUCUCGUCACUAUCUCUGAUAGCUUCUUCACUACUGAUUUUAAUACCAGGUGAGCUUCAUAGGCGAUUCCGGAGCAGAAAGUUUCCAGCUGCAAACAGCCAGCCAGAAUCCAGAACCGGACACAGCACCCAUGGCACCCCAGCUCAAGCUUCAAAGACAGGAGUGAAAUUUGAAUCAGCAAGAGUUCCUCUGUCCACAGAUAAGAGAGGGAGAGAAAGAGACGGAGCAAGAGGGUCUUCCUGAGGUCAGUCAUGCUCAAAAUGGCUUUCUAAAGGCACGUGGCCUCCUACCUGAACUGAGC
rnacentral:lncRNA from 1 species